GGGGAUGACCGGUUUUGACAGCGUGUAGAAGUGGUAUGUAAGCACGCAGAGCGAUGAUGGCUACCUCUUUAAUCCAUGACAUCAAAAAUUUUAUCUGGCGAAAAUAACUACGCUCUCGCUGCCUAACCGAAGUACAGUAAGUUAGCUUUAUUUCUGCCACAGUGGCAGAAACGAGACAUCACCCGAUUGCCCCGCUUCGAGACGUUUCGAUAAGGUGGUGCUAAGAAAAUCGAAGAUUGGAGGACCGGCUCCCGGGAGGAACUCUGAAAUUUUACGGGAUAAGCAUUUUGUUGGCGGUUCGGUGCCUGCAUCUUGACGAAAACCAAUUCCGGAAUAAGCGUGUAGAAAGCAUAUUGGUUCCGCGUUUGGACGAGAGUUCGAAUCUCUCCAUCUCCACA
rnacentral:tmRNA from 1 species